GAAAUGCGAUAAGUAGUGUGAAUUGCAGAAUUCAGUGAAUCAUCGAAUCUUUGAACGCACAUUGCGCCCUCUGGUAUUCCGGAGGGCAUGCCUGUUCGAGCGUCAUUAAAACUACUCAAGCUAAGGUUUUACCUUCUGCUUGGUCUUGGGUUUGAGGAUUCAAAAUCCUCUCUCCGAAAUCCAGUGGCGAAUUGUUUGAGCUGUAGACGUAGUAAAACAUUCUACCCGUUGCAAGCGAGAAUAAUAUUCAGCCAUAACCCCCAUACUUUUCUAGUUUGACCUCGGAUCAGGUAGGGAUACCCGCUGAACUUAA
rnacentral:misc_RNA from 1 species